CGGCGCUCUGUGAGACCCUGCACAAGAUCCGACAUAAGCGGCGACACAACCCCCAAGUGCUCUCUAUCCUCUCAGAGCCAACCCGGCAAACAUCCAGCAAACAUCCAGCUGGAAAAUCCAGGGCUCUAACUAAAUUUUUCUGCGAUAAUGUGGACUCCAUUCCAGGCGCGACAGGCCCAAAUAUGGCGCUGGAAUCUUCCCAGGACGGCUCAGCUAAGAUACACUGAAGCAUUACUUUCUCUGUCUCACCCACCACUAUGUGGGAGGCACACCAGGCAAAAAACAAAGAUACGCCCAAAUUACAGACCUAACUCAAACCAUAAGUACCCUGGAAGAACAACACAAAGAAGAACAACACAAACACAAUAAGUCAUUAGACAUGUAUAAACAACUGGUUUCAAGAGAUCAACACUGCAACAACUGUUCAAUACACAGACCCAAAAAAGAGUUAUUAUUGACAAAAAAAACUACUACUCUCAGAGGGGCAAGUGUGGCAGAUUUCUAGCUAAAAUGUUACAAACUACAUGAAUCUCCAAAAUGAAGAUGAAGGCAGGGGUCAUCUCCCAUAACCUCCCUAACAUACUCACAGCAUUCCAUGAAAUCUACUCCUCACUCUAUAACCUCAGACAAACCUCACCUGAUGAACGUGGCAUUGAGCAAUACCUCACGGACCAUCUAUAACAAACAAUCCCCCAGAAUGUCAUACAGGCCCUAGACUCAUCCAUCUUACCUGUGGUUAAACAGCUACCAUUGGGCAAAAUCCCAGGACCAGGUGGGUUCACAACCAAAUACUACAUACACUAUCCACGCCAUUCACCAAUACGUUUAACUCCCUACUUGGCUCCCACACAUUACCCCACUCAGCACUUGAAACCCACAUCACCCUGAUUCCAAAACCAGGCAAAGAUCCAACUAAUUGCGGAAGUUACCGUCCCAUUUCUUUAAUCAACAUUGACCUCAACAUUUUUACCAAGAUUCUAGCCACAAAGUUAUGCCCUCUUUUACAGGGACUUGUUCACCCUGACCAGGCUGGAUUUGUACCGGGACAAGAGGCAAAUAACAACACCGUCAAAAUGAUAAAUCUUAUCCAUCUAUCCAAACUCUCCCGUGCGCCAUGCCUGUUACUGUCCAUAAAUGCCGAAAAGGCGUUUGACAGAGUGGACUGGGCCCUGCUCUCCCACACCCUCAAAGUUUUGGCCCAAACUGGCUAAAAUGGAUAUGCGCAAUAUGCUCCUCCCCAACAGCUAGGAUAGGGGUCAAUGGCCAACUUUCUAAUCAUGUACAUAUUAGUAACGGUACAAGAAAGGGUUCCCCCUAUCACCCCUUUUAUUUUUACUCAUAUUAGUACCCUUCCUACAAGGCGUCCGCAAUAACUCCGUAGCUGCGUUUGCAGCUGACUUACUUUUCAUCAUUACUGACUCAAUAACCUCUAUGCCCCAUCUUCUGGAUGAAAUAUCCAUAUACAACAAGCUCUCCAACUUUUUAGUAAAAUUUUACUAAUAGCAAGAUACUGCCUAUUCAGUUUACCCCUCAAGUAAAAUCGAUACUACUACAAACUCCCCAGACAUCUUCAUUUGCUUUACAAUCUAAACUUUUUACCACUGCUGCAGUCAAUUAAAACAGACCUCACAUGCUGGCACAAACAAAUUUUUUGAAUGGCUGUGUCGUACGCAUAUUCUAAAAAGGAACUUCCUUCUGAAAAUCCUGUAUCUCAUCAAAAACCCUAACUAUAACACUGCCCAACUCCUUCUUCUCCACUAAUAAACACAUAUUUAGCGAAAUCAUAUGGUUGCACAAAUAUCCUAGACUCCCUCUUAAAACACUAAUGCCUACUCGAUGUUGACGCAUACAACUAGGCAACCUUACUCACUAGAGUCUACGAGUGGGCCUCUCCACAAUCCCAAAUACAUUGGAUAAUACUAGAACAUCAGGGAUUCCAGAUACCCUUACAUACAGCCCCUUGGCAUGAAAAGGGUAAAUCUUUUACGUACACGUCCCAUCCUACCAUUGUGUUCAAUCUAAAAGUAUGGCAACAAUUACGAAAAAUACCCAAUGUGUCCAUAUAUCCCUCACCCUUAUAUACAAUUACCCACAACCCACUAUUUAGACCGGGCAUGUCGAUAGCUCCCUUUGAAGCCCUAUACAACACCUCAUACAUCACCCUAGGCAGAGUGGUCACCACAACUGGAAUCUGCCCUCUACAUGAAUUUCUUCCUCAGACACAACUCUCCCACAUGCUACGAUACCGUCACUAACAAAUUACACACUUCCUCAACUCCCUACCAAAACUAUUGAAGGGCUGUAGAGACCUGACACCCUUUAAGAACCUCUGUUGGACCAGACUGCUCAAAACCAAACACUUAUCCACGCUCUACAAACUGAUCCAAAAAGUAACAACGUUCUCCCACCCUAGAUUUCUGACCACGU
rnacentral:lncRNA from 1 species